CAAUGAUAAAACUAAAUGCCAAAAAUAACUCGUUUUUGUUAAACAGUUUUUCAAUUUUUUACAAUCAUCAUCAUCAUCACCAUCUUUUGUGAAUUAAAACAUGAAUGGACAUACAAAUUAUUUUGGGUGGGGGUAAGGGUGAGAUUGCCCUAAUGACUACACUACAAGUGAGUACCUAAUCAUUGGACUACUAGCCCAGCGGCAAUUUAUCCUUUUCAUCAGGCUGCAUCUUAGGCAUCACAAGACCUCUGUCAGGAGGAGAACCAUGUGAUAAAGAUUGAUAUUGUAAUGAAAGUAACUCCUCUCUGUUAUACUUCAGUCUUUGAUCUAUAAAAUACUCAGACAUGGGCAUCUUUCCCCGCUUUCGGUACAUCUGUGAAGGUUUCAAAAAAAUUCGCGAUGGGGAAGAACGGUCGCAGCUACCUUGGUCUGAUGGAGACACACCAAGGAGUUCAUGCCUCACUUCAACAAGGGGAUGUUUCUUACAGAAUAUCGAGAUGGCUUCCUUAGUCAAGAGCCAACAACCUCUCAGGUCUAACAUUUUCAGAGAUACUGGGGGUCUGAAUAAAUCUAGCGCAGAAUUGGUCAACACAGCAUCACAAAUGGCAAGAUUUGUCAACUUCGACAGAGGCGACAUAUUGUAAAGUGCUGCAUCUGUAAGGGAAGCACUUUUAAGAGAUAAGUGGCUCAACUCUUGAAAACUUGAUACAGGGUCUAGGGCCACAUCCAUGACUUGGGUAUGCUCCAGAUUCAAACUCUGCAAGCAAUUGAGUCUCUGCAAAGCCGUCAGAGAAGGAAUCAAAUUUGUCUCUUCCCCUACCUGUUGAAUGAAACCUGUAAUGUUUGUAUUGCUCAAGUCAACAACCUUGAGUGAAGGUAUUGUGCCAAUAUAUGUGAUGGCCAAAUCAUCAACUGGAGCAUGAGAUAGUGAUAAAGAUUCAAGCUUGGGGACAUGUUGAGCUAAUAUUGAUACUCCAGCAGUGGUAACUCUUGUUUUGCUGAGAUUUAAAUUUCUUAAAUUGGCUCCAAUACAUGCAAUGAAUUCAACUGAAUCAUCUCCCAUCAUGCUAGAGCUAAGAUCCAAGUGUUCCAGCAUUUUCAUGCAAGGUAAGAAGUAGAAUCCCUGAAGGGAUGAAUUGGAUACAUCCAAGAAAGAUAGAAAACUAGGUUCUAUAUGUAAAAACACAUCAGCUUCAUUUGCAAAUGUUGCUCCUGAGUAUAUAAGUUUAGUUAAAGGAGCUUUAUUACCAUCACCUUCAAAUACAGACUCAAUCACACAGUUGCUCAAGUUUAAGCAUUCAAGAGAUGACAAAUUUGGCAACCUGGUAACACUAGUCCAGGCUAGAUUAAGAAAGCUCAGCUUGGGAAACAGUUGGAGAACAGUGGUCCCUUUGUUAGAAAUGUUACUUCCCCAGAGGUCAAGGUACUCUAGCUUUUUCAGCACCUGGAGAGAACUCAGUGCCGUAUCAGUGACAGGCAAGCCACCCAAGUCCACGACAGAUAAGUUUCUAAGCAAGGAUAGAAGUGUAACCCCAUCUGCCGUUAGACCUGUUUCUGAAAUACGGAGUAUUUCCAAUGUCGAAAUUGAUAGAAGAUGCUUAAUGCCAGCAUCAGUAACCUUAGCACAUCUGGAUAGGUCCAAUUCCCUCAAACUAGUCAUCCCAGUUAAAGCCCAAAGCGCCGAGCCAUUAAUUUUACGGCAAUCGGCAAGAUUCAAGGAGCGCAAGUAACGAAACGCUCCCAAAUAUGCUAACCACUCUGCAUCCACAGCGUUUUCACCUCUCAGAUCAACCACCUCUACGCUUUGUUUGAAAACUCUACAAUACCAAAUCUAAUAUCAUUCAAUUCUUCUUCUUCCGUUAUUUCUCUUAAAAAACCGGUGAUCUAAUCUUAAAUUCAAAAUUGAAAAGAUAGAAACUUCCGUAUUGGAAGAUGAAAAUAGAAAAUAAAUAAAUAAAAGAGGAAUGAAUUUGGACAACUUACUCGAGCAAAGAAGGGAAAAGAAGGCGGCGAUGGAGGAGGCGGCGAAGCAUAGCGUCAGCAAGAGGCGAAGGGAUGCGCUCGAGAGUCCGUCGUUGCCUCCUCCAUUUCUCCACAGAUUCUCUGGUUUCACACGCUGCUUCGAUGCAAAUUCGCACCAAUCGGGUCUCCGUUUCCAUUUCUAAGACUUGAUUUUAUCGGUCAGUUUGAUUCGCCUCCUCCUCUAAUUAUUACAACAUCUUCUUUAAUGGAGUUAUGUUGCUUACGCUUACGAGAUGCACUUUCUCUGUAUUGACAGAAGAGGCCGAGAAUUACAGUCUGUGAAAUGCAAUUGCAAUCUAAACCUGGGCCAAGUGGAUAAAUGGUCAAUCUAAA
rnacentral:misc_RNA from 1 species